CCUACGGGAGGCAGCAGUGAGGAAUAUUGGUCAAUGGCCGGAAGGCUGAACCAGCCAUGCCGCGUGAAGGUCAGUGCCCUAUGGGCGUUAAACUUCUUUUGUGCGGGAGCAAUAAUGGUCACGUGUGGCCAGACGAGAGUACCGUACGAAUAAGCAUCGGCUAAAUCCGUGCCAGCAGCCGGGGUAAUACGGGGGAUGCAAGCGUUAUCCGGAUUUAUUGGGUUUAAAGGGGGCGUAGGCUGUGAGGUAAGUCAGCGGGGAAAUGCCCCCGCUCAACGGGGUGAAGUGCCAUUGAUACUGCCUUGCUGGAAUGCGGAUGACGUGGGAGGAAUGUGUGGUGUAGCGGUGAAAUGCAUAGAUAUCACACAGAACACCGAUUGCGAAGGCAUCUCACGAAUCCGCGAUUGACGCUGAUGCACGAAAGCGUGGGUAUCAAACAGGAUUAGAUACCCCAGUAGUC
rnacentral:rRNA from 1 species